rnacentral:rRNA from 1 species
GACGUAGGGCGCGAGCGUUGUCCGGAUUUAUUGGGCGUAAAGAGCUCGUAGGCGGCUUGUCGCGUCGUUCGUGAAAACCCGGGGCUCAACUCCGGGCUUGCGGGCGAUACGGGCAGGCUAGAGUUCGGUAGGGGAGACUGGAAUUCCUGGUGUAGCGGUGAAAUGCGCAGAUAUCAGGAGGAACACCCGUGGCGAAAGCGGCUCUCUGGGACGGUACUGACGCUGAGACGCGAAAGCGUGGGGAGCAAACAGG